rnacentral:rRNA from 1 species
AGACGAAGGAUGCAAGCGUUAUCCGGAUUCAUUGGGUUUAAAGGGUGCGUAGGCGGACUUGUAAGUCAGUGGUGAAAUCUCUCAGCUUAACUGAGAAACUGCCAUUGAUACUGCAGGUCUAGAGUAUAGAUGACGUUGGCGGAAUAUGACAUGUAGUGGUGAAAUACUUAGAUAUGUCAUAGAACACCGAUUGCGAAGGCAGCUAACGAAACUAUAACUGACGCUGAGGCACGAAAGUGCGGGGAUC